rnacentral:rRNA from 1 species
GACGAACGCUGGCGGCGUGCUUAACACAUGCAAGUCGAACGGAAAGGCCCCUUUGGGGGUCCUCGAGUGGCGAACGGGGGCGUAACACGUGAGUAACCUGCCCUUGACUUCGGGAUAACUUCAGGAAACUGGGGCUAAUACCGGAUAGGAAUCCUUGCUGCAUGGUGGGGGUUGGAAAGCUUCGGCGGUUUUGGAUGGACUCGCGGCUUAUCAGCUUGUUGGUGGGGUAGUGGCUUACCAAGGCUUUGACGGGUAGCCGGCCAGAGAGGGCGACCGGCCACAUUGGGACUGGGAUAAGGCCCAGAUUCCUACGGGAGGCAGCAGUGGGGAAUAUUGCACCAUGGGCGGCAGCCUGAUGCAGCAACGCCGCGUGCGGGAUGACGGCCUUCGGGUUGUAAACCGCUUUCAGCAGGGGCGAAGCUUGUGGUGACGGUACCUGCAGAAGAAGCACCGGCUAACUACGUG